rfam:Chryseobacterium taiwanense strain TPW19 Contig_4, whole genome shotgun sequence.
CAACCUCUGACGAUCAACGUGUAAGUUG